UGAGGUUUGCUCGCGAGCAUGCGGAGUG
rnacentral:sRNA from 1 species